CUCUACAUACACCGAAUGUUUGCUUCUAUCUAGUAACAAGAAAUAAAACUGUGUUGUGGGUAUAAAGAGGAUAGCUUUGCAUGAUAUUGGAGAACUAAAAUAUGAAAAUAGUUGCUAAACUAAAUAUAUUUAGAAUAUAUUACAAAUAACGAGUGUGCAAUAAUGAUGGUAUGGUGUGAGGAAUCAUCCUUGGCAAUUGAUAACAAGAUCGGUAAUCAUUCUUGCAAUUUAUAUGAGGGAGAGGCAUGAGCUAACAUAAUUUCCGUAAUUGGAUCAUAUGAACUUAUGAUUGGAUCUUUAGCAAGCAUGCACAACUAUUAUAAAUCAUUAAGGUAAACCCAACCAUAGCAUUAAACAUCAAGUCCCCUUGACUCCCAUACGUAAACAAACCCCCUUACUCGGGUGUAAGCUUCUGUCACUCUAGCCACCCACUAUAAGCUAAUCAUGAACAGAUUGCAACAUCCUCCAGCAUGAAUCUUUCACGUGUGUGCCUCACGGAAGGCACCUUAGGACAGCACCAAAAUAAAACAUACACUCAAACCAAUCAAGAUCAUCAAUCAACCCAAAGGACAACAUAAUUCUACUCAAACAUCAUAGGAUGAAAACACAACAUUGAUUAAUAAUAUGUGGCAUGAAACACCAUGUUCAGGUAGAGGAUUACAGCAGGGUGCGAGAGAGUGGACAGCUGAAAAUAGAUAAGGAAGGUGAUGAAGAUGAU
rnacentral:lncRNA from 1 species